CCUGAUCCAGCACGCCGCGUGAGGGAUGACGGCCUUCGGGUUGUAAACCUCUUUCAGUAGGGACGAAGCGAAAGUGACGGUACCUACAGAAGAAGGACCGGCCAACUACGUGCCAGCAGCCGCGGUAAUACGUAGGGUCCGAGCGUUGUCCGGAAUUAUUGGGCGUAAAGGGCUCGUAGGCGGUUUGUCGCGUCGGGAGUGAAAACUCAGGGCUCAACCCUGAGCGUGCUUCCGAUACGGGCAGACUAGAGGUAUGCAGGGGAGAACGGAAUUCCUGGUGUAGCGGUGGAAUGCGCAGAUAUCAGGAGGAACACCGGUGGCGAAGGCGGUUCUCUGGGCAUUACCUGACGCUGAGGAGCGAAAGCAUGGGGAGCGAACAGGAUUAGAUACCCUGGUAGUCCAUGCCGUAAACGUUGGGCGCUAGGUGUGGGGACCUUCCACGGUUUCCGUGCCGCAGCUAACGCAUUAAGCGCCCCGCCUGGGGAGUACGGCCGCAAG
rnacentral:rRNA from 1 species